rnacentral:rRNA from 1 species
CGUAAAGACGCAUGCAGGUGGUUUGUUAAGUUCAGAUGUGAAAGACCCGGGGCGUCAACCUCGGAAUUGCAUUUGUAAACUAGGCAAACUAGAGUACUGUAGAGGGGGUAGGAAUUUCAGGUGUAGCGGUGAAAUAGCGUAGAGAUCUGAAGGAAUACCGGUGGCGAAGGCGGCCCCUCGGACAGAUACUGACACUCAGAUGCGAAAGCGUGGGGAGCAAACAGGAUUAGAUACCCUGGUAG